GAGAUUUCUAAGCGAAGGGCCACCAGAUA
rnacentral:piRNA from 1 species